CUCCAAUGCCAUUAUUCUCUUAAGUUAGAUUGGGCUGGUUGUGCAUCAUUACAGCUGUUCAGAUGCUUUUUUUCACUUGCAGUCUGCGGCUCAUAUACCUUUUUUACCUUCCUUUCAUCACAAAAUUCAUGCCUCUGAUUUGGUCAGUGUAAAAAAUUUAUUCUUUCCACUUUCCACAUUUCUUGCUUUUUUUGUUUCCCAAUAGAUGGGAGCAGACGUACAUCAUUUUCCUGUCAUCAGAAUGACCACACCCCAAUUUGGGUGAAACAAGUAGUGUAAAAGUACCUAGUGGCAUCAUACCUCAAAGCUGCUGCGUUGCAUUUUGGACAUUAACCAAUAAAAUCUAAUUUGCUUUAUUUCACCAAAGAGUGAAGGACAAUAUGUGGCUUCAGGAUAUCUGCAGAGAGGAUAACUGUGAGACAUAGAUAGUCAAUAUGUGUACAUACACUUCAUCACAGAUGUUUUAAUGAAGUUAAUGAGUAAAUUAAGUGUGCCGAUUGUGUCUGUAGAUUGAAUUGAAUGAGAAAAGAGUGAUGGUGUAACUAAAGUUGUUAUUGUGAAAAAAAUAUGAUCCUAUCAUUUUUUGAGGUUCUUGGUCUUGUCUCGGUCUCGGACUGGGUGGACUCAGGUUUUUUUUUUUUGUCCAUGCCUUACUGAUAAGUAAAAAAACAGCUAAUAACUUCAAAUCAUUGGUAGUGUAAAGGUUUCCCCCAGCUGCAGCUGCUACCUGCCCGGUGUCAGUGUGAGAGUGACUGGCAUGCUCCACUGCACACAGAGUUUGGAGAGACAGGAGGAAAGCGGCUGUGUGAACUCGCAAGGAAAGAUGUCUACUAACUCAGCAAUAAUUCAAUUUGGUUUUACACACCACAAGGAGUUUAUUUGUGAAAGUAAACAAAAACACUCUGCGGUGUGCAAAUUCUGCAAUGCUCUGCUCACCGAAACAGCUGGGACGACGUCAAACUUUUACCGCCACCUCACAAGGAAGCAUAAAGACAGGUUCCUGGACUACAAGGCAGGACAACAGGCAGAUGCUACACAGCCAACUAUCCUAUCCAUUGCCCAGAAAGUGCAGCUCUACAGUCAACAUUCCCCACGGCAGCAAGCCAUCAGUGAGGCCAUUGUCAAAGACACUUUGAUCUCUGAGGUUGAGAACUUGAUGGACAGCGAAGGUGAAGAGCGCAGAGCCACAGAUGGAGAUCCAUCCAGUGAUUCACGCCAGGGUUCAAGCGUCAGAACACAGAUAAGCAAAUACUUUGAUGCCAUACAGGACACUGACACUGAUAAUGUAUUUGUCUUCUGGUACAAAAACCAAAACAGAUUCCCACAACUCCACAACUUCAAUUCAAUUAAAUUCAUUUCAAUUUUAUUUGUAUAGUGCCAAUUCAUAACAGAAGUUAUCUCAGGACACUUUUCAAAUAGAGCAGGUCUAGACCGAACUCUUUAUAACAUUAUUUAGA
rnacentral:lncRNA from 15 species